UGAGGAAUAUUGGUCAAUGGCCGGAAGGCUGAACCAGCCAUCCCGCGUGCAGGAUGACGGCCCUAUGGGUUGUAAACUGCUUUUGUACCUGAAGAAACCUGGUUACGUGUAGCCAGUUGCCGGUAAGGUAUGAAUAAGCAUCGGCUAACUCCGUGCCAGCAGCUGCGGUAAUACGGAGGAUGCAAGCGUUAUCCGGAUUCAUUGGGUUUAAAGGGUGCGCAGGUGGGAAAAUAAGUCAGUGGUGAAAUACUGCCGCUUAACGGUAGAAUUGCCAUUGAUACUGUUUUCUUGAGUAUGGUUGAGGUAGGUGGAAUGUGUUGUGUAGCGGUGAAAUGCAUAGAUAUGACACAGAACGCCGAUUGCGAAGGCAGCUUACUAAGCCAUUACUGACGCUGAGGC
rnacentral:rRNA from 1 species